CUCGCGGCCUAUCAGGUAGUUGGUGAGGUAACGGCUCACCAAGCCUACGACGGGUAGCCGGCCUGAGAGGGUGACCGGCCACACUGGGACUGAGACACGGCCCAGACUCCUACGGGAGGCAGCAGUGGGGAAUAUUGCACAAUGGGCGAAAGCCUGAUGCAGCAACGCCGCGUGAGGGACGACGGCCUUCGGGUUGUAAACCUCUUUUAGUAGGGAAGAAGCGAAAGUGACGGUACCUGCAGAAAAAGCACCGGCUAACUACGUGCCAGCAGCCGCGGUAAUACGUAGGGUGCAAGCGUUGUCCGGAAUUAUUGGGCGUAAAGAGCUCGUAGGCGGUUUGUCGCGUCUGCUGUGAAAUCCCGAGGCUCAACCUCGGGUCUGCAGUGGGUACGGGCAGACUAGAGUGCGGUAGGGGAGAAUGGAAUUCCUGGUGUAGCGGUGGAAUGCGCAGAUAUCAGGAGGAACACCGAUGGCGAAGGCAGUUCUCUGGGCCGUAACUGACGCUGAGGAGCGAAAGCGUGGGGAGCGAACAGGAUUAGAUACCCUGGUAGUCCACGCCGUAAACGUUGGGCGCUAGAUGUGGGGACCAUUCCACGGUUUCCGUGUCGCAGCUAACGCA
rnacentral:rRNA from 1 species